GUUCCCUCCUUUGGCACAAUGGGUCAAUGCGUCUGGCUGUUAACCAGAAGGCUGGUGGUUCGAGCCCACCCGGGAACG